rnacentral:rRNA from 1 species
GAGUUUGAUCUUGGCUCAGAUUGAACGCUGGCGGCAUGCCUUACACAUGCAAGUCGAACGGCAGCACGGGAGCUUGCUCCUGGUGGCGAGUGGCGAACGGGUGAGUAAUGCAUCGGAACGUAUCCUGGAGUGGGGGAUAACGUAGCGAAAGUUACGCUAAUACCGCAUAUUCUGUGAGCAGGAAAGCGGGGGACCUUCGGGCCUCGCGCUCUUGGAGCGGCCGAUGUCGGAUUAGCUAGUUGGUGAGGUAAAGGCUCACCAAGGCGACGAUCCGUAGCAGGUCUGAGAGGAUGAUCUGCCACACUGGAACUGUGACACGGUCCAGACUCCUACGGGAGGCAGCAGUGGGAAUUUUGGACAAUGGGGGCAACCCUGAUCCAGCCAUGCCGCGUGAGUGAAG